AAAGGAAUUGACGGGGACCCGCACAAGCAGAGGAGCAUGUUGUUUAAUUCGACGCAACGCGAAAAACCUUACCAAGACUUGACAUUGUGAGCAUACCUAAGAAAUUAGGGAAAUUAUAGCAAUAUAACUCAUAAACAGAUGGUGCAUGGUUGUCGUCAGCUCGUGUCGUGAGAUGUUGGGUUAAGUCCCGCAACGAGCGCAACCCUUGCCGUUAGUUACUAACAUUCAGUUGAGAACUCUAACGGGACUGCCGUAGAUAAUACGGAGGAAGGCGGGGAUGAGGUCAAAUCAUCAUGCCUCUUACGUCUUGGGCUACAAACGUGCUACAAUGAUCACUACAAAGAGAUGCCAACCAGCAAUGGGGAGCUAACCUCAAAAAAGUGGUCUCAGUUCGGAUUGUGGGCUGAAACUCGCCCAUAUGAAGAUGGAUUUGCUAGUAAUCCCGAAUCAGCAUGUCGGGGUGAAUGCGUUCCCGGGUCUUGUACACACCGCCCGU
rnacentral:rRNA from 1 species